AGAGUUUGAUCCUGGCUCAGGACGAACGCUGGCGGCGUGCCUAACACAUGCAAGUCAAGGGGAAAAGGGUAGUAAUAUCCUGAGUACACUGGCGCACGGGUGAGUAACGCGUAGGCAAUUUGUCCACAGGACGGGGAUAAUUCAGCGAAAGCUGGAUUAAUACCCGAUGAAGCAACGACACCAUUUGGUGUUGUUGUUAAAAGCCCGUAAGGGUGCCGGUGGAUGGGCCUGCGUCCCAUUAGGUAGUUGGUAGGGUAACGGCCUACCAAGCCUGUGAUGGGUAGCUGGUCUGAGAGGAUGAUCAGCCACACUGGAACUGAGACACGGUCCAGACUCCUACGGGAGGCAGCAGUGAGGAAUAUUGCGCAAUGGCCGAAAGGCUGAUGCAGCGACGCCGCGCGAGGGAUGAAGUCCGUUAGGAUGUAAACCUCUUUUGCAGGGGAUGAAUGUUCCCGUUUAUUGGGAAUUGACAGUACCUUGCGAAUAAGGAUCGGCUAACUACGUGCCAGCAGCCGCGGUAAUACGUAGGAUCCGAGCGUUGUCCGGAAUUACUGGGUGUAAAGGGCGUGUAGGUGGAUUCCUAAGUCGGUGGUGAAAGUUUGUAGUUUAAUUGUAGAAUUGCCUUUGAUACUGGGGAUCUUGAGUGUGGCAGAGGGAGAUGGAAUUCAUGGUGUAGUGGUGAAAUGUGUAGAUAUCAUGAAGAAUAUUGGUAGCGAAGGUGGUUUCCUGGUCUGUAACUGACACUGAUGCGCGAAAGCGUGGGGAGUAAAUAGGAUUAGAUAUUCUGGUAGUCCACGUUUUAAACGAUGGGUACUAGGUGCUGGGUCGUAAGAUUCAGUGCCAAAGCUAAUGUAUUAAGUACCCCACCUGGGGAGUAUGAUCGCAAGGUUGAAACUCAAAGGAAUUGACGG
rnacentral:rRNA from 1 species